GGGUUGUGAGGUUAAGCGACUAAGCGUACACGGUGGAUGCCCUGGCAGUCAGAGGCGAUGAAGGACGUGCUAAUCUGCGAUAAGCGUCGGUAAGGUGAUAUGAACCGUUAUAACCGGCGAUUUCCGAAUGGGGAAACCCAGUGUGUUUCGACACACUAUCAUUAACUGAAUCCAUAGGUUAAUGAGGCGAACCGGGGGAACUGAAACAUCUAAGUACCCCGAGGAAAAGAAAUCAACCGAGAUUCCCCCAGUAGCGGCGAGCGAACGGGGAGGAGCCCAGAGCCUGAAUCAGUGUGUGUGUUAGUGGAAGCGUCUGGAAAGGCGCGCGAUACAGGGUGACAGCCCCGUACACAAAAAUACACAUAUUGUGAGCUCGAUGAGUAGGGCGGGACACGUGGUAUCCUGUCUGAAUAUGGGGGGACCAUCCUCCAAGGCUAAAUACUCCUGACUGACCGAUAGUGAACCAGUACCGUGAGGGAAAGGCGAAAAGAACCCCGGCGAGGGGAGUGAAAAAGAACCUGAAACCGUGUACGUACAAGCAGUGGGAGCACGCUUAGGCGUGUGACUGCGUACCUUUUGUAUAAUGGGUCAGCGACUUAUAUUCUGUAGCAAGGUUAACCGAAUAGGGGAGCCGAAGGGAAACCGAGUCUUAACUGGGCGUUAAGUUGCAGGGUAUAGACCCGAAACCCGGUGAUCUAGCCAUGGGCAGGUUGAAGGUUGGGUAACACUAACUGGAGGACCGAACCGACUAAUGUUGAAAAAUUAGCGGAUGACUUGUGGCUGGGGGUGAAAGGCCAAUCAAACCGGGAGAUAGCUGGUUCUCCCCGAAAGCUAUUUAGGUAGCGCCUCGUGAAUUCAUCUCCGGGGGUAGAGCACUGUUUCGGCAAGGGGGUCAUCCCGACUUACCAACCCGAUGCAAACUGCGAAUACCGGAGAAUGUUAUCACGGGAGACACACGGCGGGUGCUAACGUCCGUCGUGAAGAGGGAAACAACCCAGACCGCCAGCUAAGGUCCCAAAGUCAUGGUUAAGUGGGAAACGAUGUGGGAAGGCCCAGACAGCCAGGAUGUUGGCUUAGAAGCAGCCAUCAUUUAAAGAAAGCGUAAUAGCUCACUGGUCGAGUCGGCCUGCGCGGAAGAUGUAACGGGGCUAAACCAUGCACCGAAGCUGCGGCAGCGACGCUUAUGCGUUGUUGGGUAGGGGAGCGUUCUGUAAGCCUGCGAAGGUGUGCUGUGAGGCAUGCUGGAGGUAUCAGAAGUGCGAAUGCUGACAUAAGUAACGAUAAAGCGGGUGAAAAGCCCGCUCGCCGGAAGACCAAGGGUUCCUGUCCAACGUUAAUCGGGGCAGGGUGAGUCGACCCCUAAGGCGAGGCCGAAAGGCGUAGUCGAUGGGAAACAGGUUAAUAUUCCUGUACUUGGUGUUACUGCGAAGGGGGGACGGAGAAGGCUAUGUUGGCCGGGCGACGGUUGUCCCGGUUUAAGCGUGUAGGCUGGUUUUCCAGGCAAAUCCGGAAAAUCAAGGCUGAGGCGUGAUGACGAGGCACUACGGUGCUGAAGCAACAAAUGCCCUGCUUCCAGGAAAAGCCUCUAAGCAUCAGGUAACAUCAAAUCGUACCCCAAACCGACACAGGUGGUCAGGUAGAGAAUACCAAGGCGCUUGAGAGAACUCGGAUGAAGGAACUAGGCAAAAUGGUGCCGUAACUUCGGGAGAAGGCACGCUGAUAUGUAGGUGAAGUCCCUUGCGGAUGGAGCUGAAAUCAGUCGAAGAUACCAGCUGGCUGCAACUGUUUAUUAAAAACACAGCACUGUGCAAACACGAAAGUGGACGUAUACGGUGUGACGCCUGCCCGGUGCCGGAAGGUUAAUUGAUGGGGUCAGCGCAAGCGAAGCUCUUGAUCGAAGCCCCGGUAAACGGCGGCCGUAACUAUAACGGUCCUAAGGUAGCGAAAUUCCUUGUCGGGUAAGUUCCGACCUGCACGAAUGGCGUAAUGAUGGCCAGGCUGUCUCCACCCGAGACUCAGUGAAAUUGAACUCGCUGUGAAGAUGCAGUGUACCCGCGGCAAGACGGAAAGACCCCGUGAACCUUUACUAUAGCUUGACACUGAACAUUGAGCCUUGAUGUGUAGGAUAGGUGGGAGGCUUUGAAGUGUGGACGCCAGUCUGCAUGGAGCCGGCCUUGAAAUACCACCCUUUAAUGUUUGAUGUUCUAACGUGGACCCGUGAUCCGGGUUGCGGACAGUGUCUGGUGGGUAGUUUGACUGGGGCGGUCUCCUCCUAAAGAGUAACGGAGGAGCACGAAGGUUGGCUAAUCCUGGUCGGACAUCAGGAGGUUAGUGCAAUGGCAUAAGCCAGCUUGACUGCGAGCGUGACGGCGCGAGCAGGUGCGAAAGCAGGUCAUAGUGAUCCGGUGGUUCUGAAUGGAAGGGCCAUCGCUCAACGGAUAAAAGGUACUCCGGGGAUAACAGGCUGAUACCGCCCAAGAGUUCAUAUCGACGGCGGUGUUUGGCACCUCGAUGUCGGCUCAUCACAUCCUGGGGCUGAAGUAGGUCCCAAGGGUAUGGCUGUUCGCCAUUUAAAGUGGUACGCGAGCUGGGUUUAGAACGUCGUGAGACAGUUCGGUCCCUAUCUGCCGUGGGCGCUGGAGAACUGAGGGGGGCUGCUCCUAGUACGAGAGGACCGGAGUGGACGCAUCACUGGUGUUCGGGUUGUCAUGCCAAUGGCACUGCCCGGUAGCUAAAUGCGGAAGAGAUAAGUGCUGAAAGCAUCUAAGCACGAAACUUGCCCCGAGAUGAGUUCUCCCUGACCCUUUAAGGGUCCUGAAGGAACGUUGAAGACGACGACGUUGAUAGGCCGGGUGUGUAAGCGCAGCGAUGCGUUGAGCUAACCGGUACUAAUGAACCGUGAGGCUUAACCUUACAACGCCGAAGGUGUUU
rnacentral:rRNA from 1 species